CAAUAGCGUAUAUUUAAGUUGUUGCAGUUAAAAAGCUCGUAGUUGGAUUUCGGAUGGGAUUUGCCGGUCCGUCGUUACGAUGUGCACUGGCCAGUCCUAUCUUGUUGUCGGGGACUAGCUCCUUGGAUUCACUUCCUGGGACUAGGAGCUGACGAGGUUACUUUGAGUAAAUUAGAGUGUUCAAAGCAAGCCUACGCUCUGAAUACAUUAGCAUGGAAUAACACGAUAGGACUCUGGCUUAUCUUGUUGGUCUGUGAGACCAGAGUAAUGAUUAAGAGGGACAGUCGGGGACAUUCGUAUUUCAUUGUCAGAGGCGAAAUUCUUGGAUUUAUGAAAGACGAACUUCUGCGAAAGCAUUUGUCAAGGAUGUUUUCAUUAA
rnacentral:rRNA from 1 species